rnacentral:ncRNA from 3 species
UCACAACCUCCUUGAGUGAGCGAC